rnacentral:tRNA from 1 species
UCCCCGGUAGUAUAGUGGUUAGUAUUUCCGCCUGUCACGCGGGAGACCGGGGUUCAAUUCCCCGCCGAGGAG